AAGUUGCAUCAGAACAUAUGUAAUGUCUAAACCAUAAAAAAUAAUUGUCUAUUUGGUAGAGGGCAGAGCUCCACUUUCAAUACUGUGUGUACCUCUGGGUACCACAUUUCCACAAAUAUCCAGAAAUAUUAGGUUUCGAGAAGGACAAUUAAGAUAAUCAAUAUGCUAGAAAACUAAGCCCGGUGAAGAGUGAUGAAGAAGCUAGGAUUAUUUAGCCUUGACAGAGAUGAUUGAGGAAUGAUAACACUCUUCAGAUAGUGUGCGAAGGUUCCCAAACAUUGUCACAGUAGCUCUCCUCAAGUGAAGAAGAUAAUUUACAAGGUAGUUCUUGAAUCAGAAUAGGGCAGUGACAGUCUUUCUAGUUACUAUAUUCACUCCAUACACAAAGCCCAUACAUCAUUCAAAAGUUAUGUGAAUUUUAUAAGCUUUCUCUUCUUCAAGCUGUUCCGAACUGUUUUCAUGGUUAUCUAAUUAUAAUCGAAUUAUAAGUGUUGUUAUCAUUAGGCAUGGUGGCCUAGUGAUGAAGAUGUUCGCCUCCCACUCGAAAGAUUGAGAGCUCAAUGCUCAGUAGCGGCAAAUGUUUAACAGGCAAAGAAAAAAAAAAUAUCUGCUGCAAAUUCCACAUAGUGCCAAGAAAGGCAUCUGGCCAGCUGCAGCUAGUCAUCCUGACUCUACCCCAAAUUAAAGGGUUACAUGGUCAUAAAAAGGGAGAAGUUUUUUUAUAAUUAUCCUACAAUAAAUCAAUAAUUUAUCUUUUUAACAAGAUAAAUAAGAGGUACUUAAAUAACUGUAAAAUAUAGUUACCUGUUCUUGAGAGCUGCCAUAAUAAGUCUGAACAAAGAUGUAGAGUGGCAUUCUAUAUAGUCUUUCAGAUUUCCUCAUGUAUGACAUCAUACUGGUUACUUAGAAACAACAAAGCUCUCAAUAGUCUUUAAGCAUCAAGCCAUUUUUAUGAGGAGAUGCAUGAAUUUUUUUUAAAACUCUUCUCUGCCGAUGUCUUCAGAUCACAGUGAACACCUGAAAAUUAAAUUAGUUAUUUUAACAGAUAAUUAUAGAAAUAUAAAUCAACAAGUGCAUUUAAGAGGCGUCUCUUUGGAAAACCAUGUCUGAAGCUGAUGAAGAAGGAGGGGAAGACUAUGAAGAUGUAGGAGAUAAAGCUGAAAAAAAAGAAGUUACUGCGGAACUUCUGCCUCAGCCUGAAAAAAAGGCAAGUGUCACCACUGGGGCACUGAGCUGCUGCUGCUUGCUGUGGAGUUUGGUCUGGUUAAUUAUAUUAGUGGCUUUUGCUUGGCCCUUGAGUGUGGCUAUGGCAGCCCUUUAUGGAUUUGUGUCACCCAUGAUUUCACUGAUAGGACUGGAUGAUAUCAGUGAAUCUAUGCUGCAAGCGGUACAUGUGGGAAGAGAAUGUGCUAAAAACGUCAGAACUGGCAGGGCCAUGGUCUGAAGAAGAAACCUCAAGAGUUACUCCCAUCCCUUCCAUUUACAAGUGUCCCUGCUUUUUCAUGUUUUCAUCACUAUCGUUGAUUUCUACAUCUUCAUUUCAACAUUUAUAUUAAAAAGGACUUUAUUUCAGUCUAAAAGAGUUUUCAUGCUAUUUUACCUGACUUAACCAGUUUGGUUUCCAGUGUACACAUAAGUUAAGAAUGAAGCAGGGGGGCCAUCUUGCUUCAUGGCCUCUGCUUUCUGAGAUUUCCUCCAGCAUGUUCAGUGAGCUCUGAUGUUCAGUGAGCUCCGGGAAUUUCUGAAAGAGCUUUGUAUAGAUGUGUAUUGUAGGUACAGUGAUUUUGCAAAUGUGAGAUUGAGGCUGCAAGGCAAUGCCAAACGACAUCGAACAAAUUCAAGUAAUCUUGUAGAGGCCUGAUAAUAUUGUAUUUGAUUGUAUUUAAAAUCAAUUAUUUUUCACUUGUAUUUAUUUUUGUUCUCCCUUCCUUUUAAUUUAUUCCUUCCCCUGAAAAUCACAAGUUUUUCUUUUUACUGUGUAAAAUGUUAAAUAAUAUAGAGCCAUGAAUCUUCUUCCUGUCUUUUGUCUCCCACAUUCUAGCACUGUGCCUUAUUGGUGGGUUUACAUUAAUCUCUUACCUGGUAUUACUGGAAAGGUCAGUGAUAGGAAAGGCUCGGGGUAGGAUCAGGAAUGAAUACUGUCUCUUUUCCCAGGGUUUCUAAAUUGGUCAAAAUGAA